AUACGUAGGGAGCGAGCGUUGUCCUGAAUUACUGGGUGUAAAGGGAGCGUAGGCGGGAGUGCAAGUCAGGAGUGAAAUCUAGGGGCUCAACCCCUAAACUGCUUUUGAAACUGUAUCCCUUGAGUAUCGGAGAGGCAGGCGGAAUUCCCCGGGUAGUGGGGAAAUGCGUAGAUAUUAGGAGGAACACCAGUGGCGAAGGCGGCCUGCUGGACGACAACUGACGCUGAGGCGCGAAAGCGUGGGGAGCAAACAGGAUUAGAUACCCUGGUAGUCCACGCUGUAAACGAUGAAUACUAGGUGUGGGGGGACUGACCCCCUCCGUGCCGCAGUUAACACAAUAAGUAUUCCACCUGGGGAGUACGAUCGCAAGAUUGAAACUCAAAUGAAUUGGCGGGG
rnacentral:rRNA from 1 species